UACCAGCUCUCCGAGUGGUAGGGAUGAUUAUUGGGCUUAAAGCGUCCGUAGCCGGCUUAGCAAGUCUCCUGUUAAAUUCAGCGACCUAAUCGUUGAGCCGCGGGAGAUACUACUAGGCUAGGAGGCGGGAGAGGUCGACGGUACUUCCGGGGUAGGGGUGAAAUCCUAUAAUCCCGGGAGGACCACCAGUGGCGAAGGCUGUCGACUAGAACGCGCUCGACGGUGAGGGACGAAAGCUGGGGGAGCGAACCGGAUUAGAUACCCGGGCAGUCCCAGCUGUAAACGAUGCGGGCUAGGUGUUGGGGUGGCUACGGGCCACUUCAGUGCCGCAGGGAAACCAUUAAGCCCGCCGCCUGGGGAGUACGGCCGCAAGGCUGAAACUUAAAGGAAUUGGCGGGGGAGCACCACAAGGCGUGAAGCUUGCGGUUC
rnacentral:rRNA from 1 species